rnacentral:rRNA from 1 species
UUGUCUUGUAAUUGGAAUGAUGGUGACCCAAACCCUCACCAGAGUAGCAAUUGGAGGGCAAGUCUGGUGCCAGCAGCCGCGGUAAUUCCAGCUCCAAUAGCGUAUAUUAAACUUGUUGCAGUUAAAAAGCUCGUAGUUGUAUUUUUGCGUUGACGGUUUGACCAUUUGGUUGGUUAUUUCGUUUUCGCUUUUGGGAAUUUCCCUUUUUACUUUGAGAAAAUUAGAGUGUUUCAAGCAGACUUUUGUCUUGAAUACUUCAGCAUGGAAUAAUAGAGUAGGACUUUGGUUCUAUUUUGUUGGUUAU